rnacentral:rRNA from 1 species
GACGUAGGGCGCGAGCGUUGUCCGGAUUUAUUGGGCGUAAAAGAGCUCGUAGGCGGCUUGUUGCGUCAGCUGUGAAAACCCGCAGCUCAACUGUGGGCUUGCAGCUGAUACGGGCAGGGCUUGAGUUCGGUAGGGGAGACUGGAAUUCCUGGUGUAGCGGUGAAAUGAGCGCCAGAGUAUCAGGAGGAACACCGGUGGCGAA